rnacentral:rRNA from 1 species
GUGUGGGAUGAGCCCGCGGCCUAUCAGCUUGUUGGUGGGGUGACGGCCUACCAAGGCGACGACGGGUAGCCGGCCUGAGAGGGUGUCCGGCCACACUGGGACUGAGAUACGGCCCAGACUCCUACGGGAGGCAGCAGUGGGGAAUAUUGCACAAUGGGCGCAAGCCUGAUGCAGCGACGCCGCGUGGGGGAUGACGGCCUUCGGGUUGUAAACCUCUUUCACCAUCGACGAAGGUCCGGGUUCUCUCGGAUUGACGGUAGGUGGAGAAGAAGCACCGGCCAACUACGUGCCAGCAGCCGCGGUAAUACGUAGGGUGCGAGCGUUGUCCGGAAUUACUGGGCGUAAAGAGCUCGUAGGUGGUUUGUCGCGUUGUUCGUGAAAUCUCACGGCUUAACUGUGAGCGUGCGGGCGAUACGGGCAGACUAGAGUACUGCAGGGGAGACUGGAAUUCCUGGUGUAGCGGUGGAAUGCGCAGAUAUCAGGAGGAACACCGGUGGCGAAGGCGGGUCUCUGGGCAGUAACUGACGCUGAGGAGCGAAAGCGUGGGGAGCGAACAGGAUUAGAUACCCUGGUAGUCCACGCCGUAAACGGUGGGUACUAGGUGUGGGUUUCCUUCCUUGGGAUCCGUGCCGUAGCUAACGCAUUAAGUACCCCGCCUGGGGAGUACGGCCGCAAGGCUAAAACUCAAAGGAAUUGACGGGGGCCCGCACAAGCGGCGGAGCAUGUGGAUUAAUUCGAUGCAACGCGAAGAACCUUACCUGGGUUUGACAUGCACAGGACGCGUCUAGAGAUAGGCGUUCCCUUGUGGCCUGUGUGCAGGUGGUGCAUGGCUGUCGUCAGCUCGUGUCGUGAGAUGUUGGGUUAAGUCCCGCAACGAGCGCAACCCUUGUCUCAUGUUGCCAGCACGUAAUGGUGGGGACUCGUGAGAGACUGCCGGGGUCAACUCGGAGGAAGGUGGGGAUGACGUCAAGUCAUCAUGCCCCUUAUGUCCAGGGCUUCACACAUGCUACAAUGGCCGGUACAAAGGGCUGCGAUGCCGCGAGGUUAAGCGAAUCCUUAAAAGCCGGUCUCAGUUCGG